GCUCAGAUGAUCCACAGUGGUCUGGGUUGCAGGCUUCAAAUCUGUAGCUGUCUAGGGACAGAGUGGUUCAGUUCCACCUUCUGAGUA